rnacentral:tRNA from 1 species
ACAAAAUGUAGCUUAUUACAUAAAGCACCUCGCUUACACCGAGUAGAAGUCUGUUAAACCCGGACCAUUUUGA